rnacentral:rRNA from 1 species
CCUACGGGGGGCAGCAGUCGAGGAUCUUCGGCAAUGGGCGAAAGCCUGACCGAGCGACGCCGCGUGCGGGAUGAAGGCCUUCGGGUUGUAAACCGCUUUCGGAGGGGAGGAAAUGCAGGGGGGAUCACCCUCCUGUUUGACCUAGCCUCGGAAGAAGGACGGGCUAAGUUCGUGCCAGCAGCCGCGGUAAUACGAACCGUCCAAACGUUAUUCGGAAUCACUGGGCUUGACGGGUCCGUAAGCGGCCCGGGAAAUCCCUCGGCUCAACCGAGGAAUUGCGCCCAAAACUGUCGGGCUUGAGGGAGGUAGAGGUGAGCGGAACUUAGGGUGGAGCGGUGAAAUGCGUUGAUAUCCUAAGGAACACCGGUGGCGAAAGCGGCUCACUGGGUCUCUUCUGACGCUGAUGCACGAAAGCUAGGGGAGCGAACGGGAUUAGAUACCCCAGUAGUC